AGGCACAGUAAGAACUGAGCCCUGGCAACCUGGCUUGGGUACCAAAAUGGGAUGCAGAAAGCUUUGGUGUUCCAUGGAGGGUGGGUGAAAGGCAUUGUAGGUCCCCUAAACCUGGCCAUGAGAUAACGUCCCAGUGGCUUCCCCCAGUACCCUGGGAGGAAGGCAGAUCGGAACAGAACUGAUUAACAGCUGUCUGGAAGGAAACCAAAGGGGGCUCUGAUGGCCCUCAGCACCUCGUCUGCUCUCCCCACCCCAA
rnacentral:lncRNA from 1 species